GUCCUUGUGUGUGUGCUGCUUUGGAGAAUAUCCUGAGGUGUUCAAAGGAUGGCCAGCACUCUGUGCCUGGGUGGCUGGAGAGCUGUGAUUUAUGGUUGCUGACAGUGAAUGCUUUUCCCCACCAUGGAGCUGUGUCAGGAAGCUCCUGUUUUCUGUGGCUCUCAAUCUCAGAGGAGCCAGAUGCUGAGAGAAACAGCUCUGUGCUGGCUGGGCUGCACUGGGUGAUCCUCCCAGCUGGACUCUGCUCCAGGAGCUGCUGCUGACCAAACAUUCUGUGUGGUCACUACCCUGGCCUCAGAUUGGCUUUGUGAGCUGUUUUUCCUUUGUGUUCUUCUUCUUCUUGGCAUCCUUGGAUGGUGGUUUUUUCCAUGAGGUGGAUGGAUCAGGAAUCUGCUGUCUGCGAUGGCUGAAAGUCCAGUUUAACUCCUACUCCCUCAAGGUACAGAACAGAACUAUUUAAAUCAAGAAAUAUCUCUCCUUUCUUGUCUUGGAGCUGGCUGUGUCAGUCUUCAGUUUUCAGUGGGGAAAAAUCCCAGCCCAUGGAAUUUGUGGCUUUCUAAACCAUUCCUUUGUGUGGUGACUUCACAUCAGAGCAGAUCCUGCUUCUCCAGAGGGGUGGGAGCAGGGAUUGCUGGUCCACAGGAAAUUUUGGGUUGUUGUGGCCUUGGCUGUCAGAGUGUGGGGGUUUGUUGGCCAUAAUUCCUGUUCCAAGCCAAAAAAAGCACUCACGUGAGGUUUGUUGUGACUGCCUUUGGCUCUGGGAUGGGUUUCCACCUUCCAAGCAAACAUCCAACCAUUCUGCUGCCUCAUUCUUGUGGAUGCUCAUUGUAAAGCAAAGUCCCAGCUUUAACACCCCAAAGCUCUUUGCUAAGUGGAGAAUUGUUCUCAGGCUGAGGAAUUAAUAGCAAAGUUUCCCUGACAGAAAGAGCCAGGCAUUCAUCCCACAGCAAUUGUUCCCAGAACUGGCAAACACAAAUUAAAGCACUUUGCUGCUGCAUUUCUUUUUUUCUGUGAAGGUCUUUAUUUAUAACAUUUGCUGUUUAGGUUUGAAAUCUCAGCCCUGUAUAUGGUUACACACAAAUUACACAUGAAAACAAAAUGUGGCUGGAGACAAGAAUGAACAUUAUCACCAAGAGAAAUGAUUGUUUUCAGAAAUACAUCCAAA
rnacentral:lncRNA from 1 species